GGGACAUGGGAUAUGGGGUCAGUGGGACAUAGGGACAUGGGACAUGGGGUCAGUGGGACAUGGGGACAUGGGGACAUGGCACUGCUGGUGGCACUGGCACUGACACCUCACUUCCAGCCUGCCAUGAGGACACAGGACACGGGGACAGUGGGGUCAGUGGGACACGGGGUCAGUGCAUGGCACCGACCCCAUGCCACCAGUGCCACCACCAGUGCCACACCUCUGCCUGCUACGGGCACCUGGGGACACAGGGACAGUGGGACAUGGGGACAUUGCUGUAUCCUGGCCAAAAAUGGGGACCCAGAGCGGCCCAGAGGGAUCUCGGUGCCUCACACCACAGCGAUGCAUCCUGAAAAUCCUGAAAAUCCCAUCCCUUGGGGAUUCAUGGGAUCCUGACCCCAGUCCCUGGGAUUUUCCAUGGGAAUCCACUCAGGAUCCUGGCCCAAAUCCCUGGGGUUUUCCAGUGGGAUCCACUCAGGAUCCCGACCCAAAUCCCACAGGUUUUCCAUGGGAAUCCAGGGGAUCCUGACCCCAUUCCCUGGGAAUUUCCAGUGGAAUCCAAAUCCCAAUUCCUGGGAUUUUCCAUCAGAAUCCAUCCCCAAUCCUAUGAGUGUUCCAGUGGGAUCCCACCCCAAAUCCUGGGGAUUUUCCAGUGGGAUCUCGACCCCAAAUCAAUCCCUUGGGGUUUUCCAGCAGGAUGCACUCAGGGAUUUUCUGUCAGGAUCCCGACCCCAAUCCCAGGGAUUUUCCACUGGGAUCCAUCCCUGUCCAGCUGCACAGCCCUGGCUCCAGCCUUUCCCUGGAUACAGUCUCCAAAACACCAGGAAAACAUCGGGAUCACGACAGGAAUCCCCCACCCAUCCCCAAUUCCCAGCUCUCUCCAAGGAGGAAAUUCCCAUUAAAUUCCUUGAAAAACAACCUGGCCCCGGCUCCAGGGGGGGAAAUGGAAAUGGGAAGCACCUGGUGCUGUGAUCCCACUUUUUUUAGGGGAGUUUUCCUUAAAAUGUCUCCUUUUCCCUCAAAUUUGGGCACUGAAUUGCACAAAAAUUGGGGAAAAUCCUUGGAUUCUUCAGCACCAACCCCCCUGGAAUAAUCUGGAUCAUUUUCCUCCCAUGGAAGCCCAGAAAAACCAAAAAUUUGUUGUUGUGCUUCCUGAAAAUCCAAAGAAAUCUGGGAAAAUUGAAAUUUUAUGGAAGUGCUG